GACGAACGCUGGCGGCGUGCUUAACACAUGCAAGUCGAACGGACAGGCCCUGCUUUUGUGGGUUUCUCGAGUGGCGAACGGGUGAGUAACACGUGAGUAACCUGCCCUUAACUUUGGGAUAACUUCACGAAACUGGGGCUCAUACCGGAUAUGAUCUCCUGCUCCAUGUUGGUCGUUGGAAAGUUUCGGCGGUUGGGGAUGGACUCGCGGCUUAUCCGCUUGUUUGUGGGGUAGUGGCUGACCAAGGCUGUGACGGCUAGCCGGCCUGAGAGGGGGACCGGGGACAUGAGGACUGAGAGACGGACCAGACGCGUACGGGAGGCAGCGGUGGGGAAUAUUGCGCAAUGAGCGGGAGCGUGAGGCAGAAACGCUGCGUGCGGGAUGACGGCCUUCGGGUUGUAAACCGCUGUCGCCUGUGACGAAGAGGGAGUGACGGUAAUGGGUAAAGAAGCACCGGCUAACUACGUG
rnacentral:rRNA from 1 species